GAGAAAGAGAAUAUGAAGCUUGAAUGGCAGAUGCUGAUAGCAGAAUGAACAGCAGAUGUUGAUACUUUGUGUGCUGUUUGAUAUUGGGCCAAACCCUGCCUGUCUCACUCAUGUGAUGAGUACCGGUAGUAGAGAGACUCGUCAGAGGCUUGUGUGCUGCUUUUUUAAUGGAAAGUCCACUUGGCUGAAUAACACUCAACUGUCAUGAAAGAAUCUGGAAAUUCGUGCUAUAAACAUGUUGCAUUCUGAUCACCAAUGGAAACAUUUGAAUUCUUUUGAAAUUUAGGAUAUUCCUUUCACAGGCUGUCUAUAUGUUUAAAUGGUUGGGAUCCUCUCUCUCUAUUUAGAGAAAUAUUUGCAUAGCAUCUGUCUCUUUUUUUUUUCUUUAGUGAAAUAGCCUCAUUGUUACCUCUUAGGACUAAAUCAGACUUGUGCUACUCGUGUGAGUUACUCCCACUGACUUCAGAGUGAGUAAGGAGAGCAGAAUUUGGCUCCUACUGUAUUUUUUAUAUUACUGCUUGAAAAAUUGUUCCUGUCUUCUCUUUGUGAGAUGCUGUGAAGAGACAUCUUGUCCAAAGAUGGGAGAUCAACAAUGGAAGUGUGAAGAGUAUUUAGUUGUUCCUGUUCUGGUUGCCCCUGUACCCGAUGGAGCACUUGCUUUGCAGAGACAUUCAGAGGUAGGGAGUGCCUUCACAGCCCUUCGCACUUGGAAUUUAGUGUCCAAAACGAGAGACAAGAAAGAUAAACUGUGAUACAAGAA